rnacentral:rRNA from 1 species
GAUGAACGCUGGCGGCGUGCCUAAUACAUGCAAGUCGAGCGAACAGACGCUGAGCUUGUUCCUCUGACGUUUGCGGCGGAGGGGAGUAUAACAUGUGGAUAACCUCCCUGUAUGACUGGGAUCUUUUCGGAAAACGGGAUCUUAUACCAUAUAAUAUCUUGAACCGCAUGGUUGAAUAGUAAGAUACGGUGUUGGUGUCCCUAAUAGAUGGAUAUGAGCCGCUUUAGCUGGUUGGUAAGUUCACGGCUUACCAAGGCAACGAUGCGUAGCCGACGUGAGAGGCUGAUCGGCCACACUGGAACUGAGACACGGUCGAGACUCCUAAGGGAGGCAGCAGUAGGGAAUCUUCCGCAAUGGGCGAAAGCCUGACGGAGCAACGCCGCGUGAGUGAGGAAGGUCUUCGGAUCGUAAAACUCUGUUAUUAGGGAAGAACAAAUGUGUACGUAACUAUGCACGUCUUGACGGUACCUAAUCAGAAAGCCACGGCUAACUACGUG